rnacentral:lncRNA from 1 species
UCUCAAGGAUGUUUGUGUAUUGGGCUCCGGGUUUGAUUUUAUCAAAUUUGAUUCAGAUUCAAUUAUUAGUGUCGAUUUUUUUACCUGUCGAACUUCGUCAAGCUCAAUUUUUGAGGUACUUAUUUCUUCACUAAAGAAUUUUUUUUCAAAUAAUGUGCCUUAUUGCUGACAAACUACCUUUUGUUCAACAAACUGAUAAAAGUAAUAUCUCUUCGUUUCCUUGGGGUACCCUAUGAAAUUAUAUUUAUCGGAUCUAGGACUGAGCUUGUCAGUUUAUAAUCCUUUAAUGUAAGUCGGAUAUCCCUAAAUCCUAAAGUAAGAGAGGUUCGGCCUACGCUC